AUGUCAUUAUCACCAAAGCACACGGAUUCCGGUAGGAUUCCUUCUGCUGUUAUAUGUUCUAUGGAUCAGGACACGCUCCCACCAUGUUCCACGCACGGCUCUGUGCACACGGAGGGCUCGCCGGGCCAUCCCACUUCUCUCUGCAUGAAGCCCAUCCUCCUGCUGCACUCCGAGGAACCUCUGCUCCUCGCUAACCACAGCGGCUGGCCCUCCGUCUUCAACCUGAGCCCCCGCCUUCCCUGCUCACCAACUGCCACCUGGCCAGCCUGCAGCUGCCCUCCCAGCCAGAGCUCCCGCCUGCCCAGCUGCGUCCAGCAGGUGCAGAGGGGGCGGGGCCUUCCCUGCUGGGCCCGCCCCCUUCCUGCUCUUCAGAAAUCCAGCUCUUUAGAGAAGCUUGGAGGCCACUCUCUGAAGUGGCUUUCUUUUAUCUCUCCUAUGUCAUCUACACUUUAAAAAAAAAAAUAGUAUGUAUUUCAGUUUUCUUAUUUUUUUGGUCUCUUUGUUUACUUAUCAUCUCUCUCUCUCUCUCCAAGUAGCCUCCAGGAGAGCCGGGACAAUGUAUGUCAAUUUUGUUUAUCACGGUGUCCCCGGUACCCAGUGGGAUGCAAGGCGUAUAAUAAGUGUUCUGUAAAUAGCUGAUUGAUGAACGGUUUAGCCACACAUGUAAGAAUGUCUUGACUCUAGGUGACUUUAAGCUCGAUCUGAGUAAGACAUAUGAACUGUCAUUCUCCGGUUGAUGCUUGCUCAGAGCGAGGGAGAGGGCUGCCCCACUCUGCGUACACAAAUGUUGUCAUUCUGGAGCUCUUAACGUGGUGUGGGGUUUGGAGGAAAAGUAGCAUGUUAACAACAUGUCAUGUGCCCGGAGGAGAUUCCGACUUAGAACCAUAGGCUUUGAGGAAAAUAAACUUGGGCCUUUCACUGGGGAAGGGAAAGCUCAGGGAUACCUACAAGCUGUCCACAGGUGUCUGAGGCAUUGGCAUGCUGUGGAAGGAGAGGACUUAUCCUGUGUGCUUAGAGGGGGCUGCCUGGAAGGCAGUGAUCUCUCCAUCACUUGGAAGUGUUAUUAGAAGCUUCUCUUGGUAAGCAUGUAGGAUGAGAUGACAUUUAAAAUUGCUUUUAGUCUGAAGGGUCCACAUAUCUAUCAUCAUUUUGAAAUGUUUUUGUUGGGUUCCUCUAGCUGGCCUGGGGUAGGUUGGAAAGGCAGACUAUUCCUAUUCCUUCUUGAUUCCUGAGGUAGUUUCUGGCCCUAUAAGAGUGUGUGUGUGUGUGUGUGUGUGUGUGUGUAUGUUUGUGGUGGAUUGGAUUCUUGUUCAUCCAAUAUGUUCACUCAAUAUUCACAUUUUCUUCCUCCACACGCUGGCAUAUACCUCAUUGCCUCUCUCCCCUUGGGCACAGCCAUGGGACCAGUGCACAGAAGUGGGAGUACACCAAGGCCUUGAGUGUUUGUUUGCCCUCUGGCACACUCCCGCCUCCUCCAUGACACGAGCGGACCCUGAGUAGCCACAGUUCCAGAAUGAGGAGACAUGUGGAGAGCAGACCUGACCCCAAGCACAACUGAGUCCAGCCAACCUGCAGACGCUUUACGGAGAAGCAGUGAAUGUCUGAUGUAAGCCCCUGAGAUCUGGGGGCUCUUUGUCACACAGCCACAUUACAGAAAACCUGACUGAUCAGUGUUCGUGGUAUUCUUUACAGG
ensembl:lincRNA